GGGAUGCGUCAUCGCUAGCUCCGCCCCUUGGUGUGUGUGGGUUUCCGCAUGGAAAAGCUGGAAUAGCUUCUGGUUUGCGGUUUUGCAGUGGUGCGCAGGCUGUCAUUGAUCCCCGGCUGGGUUGAGUCCACUUUCCGUGUGAAUUGUCAAACAUUAUGCUGUGAGCAAUCAUA